GGGGAAUUUUGGACAAUGGGCGCAAACCUGAUCCAGCCAUACCGCGUGCGGGAAGAAGGCCUUCGGGUUGUAAACCGCUUUUGUCAGGGAAGAAAUCUUCUGGGUUAAUACCUCGGGAGGAUGACGGUACCUGAAGAAUAAGCACCGGCUAACUACGUGCCAGCAGCCGCGGUAAUACGUAGGGUGCAAGCGUUAAUCGGAAUCACUGGGCGUAAAGCGUGCGCAGGCGGUUGUGUAAGACAGAUGUGAAAUCCCCGGGCUCAACCUGGGAACUGCAUUUGUGACUGCACAGCUGGAGUACGGUAGAGGGGGAUGGAAUUCCGCGUGUAGCAGUGAAAUGCGUAGAUAUGCGGAGGAACACCGAUGGCGAAGGCAGUCCCCUGGACCUGUACUGACGCUCAUGCACGAAAGCGUGGGGAGCAAAC
rnacentral:rRNA from 1 species